GUACACUCCUACGGGAGGCAGCAGUGGGGAAUUUUGGACAAUGGGCGAAAGCCUGAUCCAGCAAUGCCGCGUGAGUGAAGAAGGCCUUCGGGUUGUAAAGCUCUUUUGUCAGGGAAGAAACGGUGAAAGCUAAUAUCUUUUGCUAAUGACGGUACCUGAAGAAUAAGCACCGACUAACUACGUGCCAGCAGCCGCGGUAAUACGAAGGGUGCAAGCGUUAAUCGGAAUUACUGGGCGUAAAGCGUGCGCAGGCGGUUUUGUAAGUCUGAUGUGAAAUCCCCGGGCUCAACCUGGGAAUUGCAUUGGAGACUGCAAGGCUAGAAUCUGGCAGAGGGGGGUAGAAUUCCACGUGUAGCAGUGAAAUGCGUAGAUAUGUGGAGGAACACCGAUGGCGAAGGCAGCCCCCUGGGUCAAGAUUGACGCUCAUGCACGAAAGCGUGGGGAGCAAACAGGAUUAGAAACCCCGGUAGUCCCAUGA
rnacentral:rRNA from 1 species